rnacentral:rRNA from 1 species
GAAGAAAGCUGGCGGCGUGCUUAACACAUGCAAGUCGAACGGAAAGGCCCUGCUUUUGUGGGGUGCUCGAGUGGCGAACGGGUGAGUAACACGUGAGUAACCUGCCCUUGACUUUGGGAUAACUUCAGGCAACUGGGGCUAAUACCGGAUAGGAGCUCCUGCUGCAUGGUGGGGGUUGGAUAGUUUCGGCGGUUGGGGAUGGACUCGCGGCUUAUCGGCUUGUUGGUGGGGUAGUGGCUUACCAUGGCUUUGACGGGUAGCCGGCCUGAGAGGGUGACCGGCCACAUUGGGACUGAGAUACGGCCCAGACUCCUCCGGGAGGCAGCAGUGGGGAGGAUUGCACAAGGGGCGGAAGCCUGAUGCAGCAACGCCGCGUGCGGGAAGACGUGCUUCGGGUUGUAAACCGCUUUCGCCUGUGACGAGGCGUGAGUGACGGUAAUGGGUAAAGAAGCACCGGCUAACUACGUG